AUGGAGGGAUAUAGACAUUGCACAUUGCAGGUAGCGUCUCUAGCGCUAGGUUCCUUAUUUCCUCAAACUGGGGCAGUUGUUGAGGCUGGACAGAGCCCUGGGCCUGUGGGUUUUGCUAAGAUGGCUGGAAGGAGCCCUGGCCUGAUGGAUAUUGUUGUUGAGGCUGUUGGAAGCAGACCUGGCUCAACGGUUGUUGUUGUUGUUGUUGUUGAUCUGUUGUUGUUGUUGUUGUUGUUGUUGUUGUUGUUGUUGUUGUUGUUGUUGUUGUUGUUGUUGUUGUUGUUGUUGUUGUUGUUGAUGCAGAAUAAUAGCAUGAACAACAUUGUGGAUGGCUUGGCACCGCGACUGCUCGGGGAUCUGCCACAGCUGCUGACAACACAAUUGUUGCACCAGCUGGUAAGUACUUUGUUGCAAAACUUGUGA
rnacentral:rRNA from 1 species